rnacentral:rRNA from 1 species
UGGUCUAAUACUUCAUAAUAUCCAUCUCGUAUGGAUUAAAGCUUUAUGCGCUUUGGGAGGGGCCUGCGUUAACAUUAGCUUGUUGGUGAGGUAAAAGCUCACCAUGGCUUCGAUGUUUAACUGGUUUGAGAGGAUGACCAGUCACACUGGGACUGAGAUACGGCCCAGACUCCUACGGGAGGCAGCAGUAAGGAAUCUUCCACAAUGGGGCAACCCUGAUGGAGCAAUACCGCGUGCAGGAUGAAGCGUUUCGGCGUGUAAACUGCUUUUAUCACCGAAGAUUAUGACUGUAGGUGAAGAAUAAGGACCGGCUAACUACGUG